rnacentral:rRNA from 1 species
UGAGCAAUCUGCCCUUCUCUUUGGAAUAAGCGUUGGAAACGACGUCUAAUGCCGAAUACGACCUCCUUUCGCAUGAUCGGAGGUGGAAAGCUCCGGCGGAGAAGGAUGAGCUCGCGGCCUAUCAGCUAGUUGGUGUGGGUAAUGGCCCACAAGGCGACGACGGGUAGCCGGCCUGAGAGGGUGACCGGCCACACUGGGACUGAGACACGGCCCAGACUCC